rnacentral:rRNA from 1 species
UGGGGAAUAUUGGACAAUGGGCGCAAGCCUGAUCCAGCCAUGCCGCGUGAGUGAUGAAGGCCCUAGGGUUGUAAAGCUCUUUUGUGCGGGAAGAUAAUGACUGUACCGCAAGAAUAAGCCCCGGCUAACUUCGUGCCAGCAGCCGCGGUAAUACGAAGGGGGCUAGCGUUGCUCGGAAUCACUGGGCGUAAAGGGUGCGUAGGCGGGUCUUUAAGUCAGGGGUGAAAUCCUGGAGCUCAACUCCAGAACUGCCUUUGAUACUGAGGAUCUUGAGUUCGGGAGAGNUGAGUGGAACUGCGAGUGUAGAGGUGAAAUUCGUAGAUAUUCGCAAGAACACCAGUGGCGAAGGCGGCUCACUGGCCCGAUACUGACGCUGAGGCACGAAAGCGUGGGGAGCAAACA